rnacentral:rRNA from 1 species
CGGCUAACACAUGACAGUCUGAGAGGGCAGCAUGGUCUUAGCUUGCUAAGGCUGAUGGCUGACCGGCGCACGCGGUUGAGUAACACGUAUCCAACCUGCCGUCUACUCUUGCGCCAGCUCUUCUGAACAGUGAAGAUUACACUCCGAGAGAUGGUGAUCAUGAGCUUCACAGUGUCCGCAUGAUUAAACGGUAUUGUUCCGGUAGAUCGAUAGGGCGAUGCGUUCGCCCUGUGAUCAUACGAUACGAGCGGUGGAUACACGGCCCACACCUAGUUCAAGCGAUGUGCAUAGUGGGCUAUCUGAUGAGAGAAGUGUCCCCCAGCCAUUGGAACUGAAGACCACUGAUUCCAAACUCUCAUACGGGAGGCAGCAGUGAGGAAUAUUGGUCAAUGGGCGAUGGCCUGAACCAGCCAAGUAGCGUGAAGGAUGACUGCCCUAUGGGUUGUAAACUUCUUUUAUAAAGGAAUAAAGUCGGGUAUGCAUACCCGUUUGCAUGUACUUUAUGAAUAAGGAUCGGCUAACUCCGUGCCAGCAGCCGCGGAGCGUUAUCCGGAUUUAUUGGGUUUAAAGGGAGCGUAGAUGGAUGUUUAAGUCAGUUGUG